rnacentral:misc_RNA from 1 species
GUUCAUUAUAGAAGUAUAAAACUUUCUCAGGGUUCACUAGACCAAGACCGUUCUUUAUCAAGCUGCUCAAAGCAUCAUCAGGUUCCUGUGACUCAGUCCCGGGAGAUGAAACUGGGAAAGAUAACUUGGAUUCAUAGUGUUCCAUCCCAGGGACCCCGGGUCUCACACCGCCCCAGUAACCAGCAAGUGCAUGCCACAUGUACACAUACUUCAAAUUGUGUUGGUCUUUGAUAUUGGUAACAACAUGUCGAAGUCCCAUUGCAGGAUCGUUAACCCUAUGACCUUCUUUUCCAUUUUUCUGAAACUUAUGGUUCUCUUUGAUAUGAGUUAACCUGUUAGCAAAGUUUGCAUGGUUAUCAGCAAUGGAUUCGAUACCAUCGGGAUCCAUACUCACUGAUUGCCAUCCAUCAUCAAUGAGUACAAACUUUGGGGGAAUACCUCCUUUCUCCAAACUCUCUAACCCUUGCUUCACUCCCUCUGAAGUAACGGUAGUAUAGAAAGCAUCCC